UACGGGAGGCAGCAGUGGGGAAUCUUGCGCAAUGGGCGAAAGCCUGACGCAGCCAUGCCGCGUGAAUGAUGAAGGUCUUAGGAUUGUAAAAUUCUUUCACCGGGGACGAUAAUGACGGUACCCGGAGAAGAAGCCCCGGCUAACUUCGUGCCAGCAGCCGCGGUAAUACGAAGGGGGCUAGCGUUGCUCGGAAUUACUGGGCGUAAAGGGCGCGUAGGCGGAUCGUUAAGUCAGAGGUGAAAUCCCAGGGCUCAACCCUGGAACUGCCUUUGAUACUGGCGAUCUUGAGUAUGAGAGAGGUAUGUGGAACUCCGAGUGUAGGAGGUGAAAUUCGUAGAUAUUCGGAAGAACACCAGUGGCGAAGGCGACAUACUGGCUCAUUACUGACGCUGAGGGCGCGAAAGCGUGGGGAGCAAACAGGGAUUAGAUACC
rnacentral:rRNA from 1 species